UACGUAGGGGGCAAGCGUUGUCCGGAUUUAUUGGGCGUAAAGAGCGUGUAGGCGGCUUUACAGGUCCGUUGUGAAAACUCGAGGCUCAACCUCGAGACGCCGGUGGAAACCGUAAAGCUAGAGUCCGGAAGAGGAGAGUGGAAUUCCUGGUGUAGCAGUGAAAUGCGUAGAGAUCAUGAGGAAGACCAGUGGCGAAGGCGGGUCUCUGGACAGUUCCUGACACUGAGACACGAAGGCCAGGGGAGCAAACGGG
rnacentral:rRNA from 1 species